GGCACGGGUGAGUAACACGUAUCCAACCUGCCGUCUACUCUUGGACAGCCUUCUGAAAGGAAGAUUAAUACAAGAUGGCAUCAUGAGUCCGCAUGUUCACAUGAUUAAAGGUAUUCCGGUAGACGAUGGGGAUGCGUUCCAUUAGAUAGUGGGCGGGGUAACGGCCCACCUAGUCUUCGAUGGAUAGGGGUUCUGAGAGGAAGGUCCCCCACAUUGGAACUGAGACACGGUCCAAACUCCUACGGGAGGCAGCAUG
rnacentral:rRNA from 1 species